AAAUGCGCCAUUCCGCGGUCUGCUACGUCACGCGCAGUCGUGCAACUUUGCGUCAAAUGUCAUCCAAAAAUAAAUAAACGCAUCGAAUUCCGACGUCCGAUGCGGCUUUUAUUUUUAAUUAUUUGAAUAAAAACUCUUUAGUGAAUUGUGUAAGUGUUUAUACUCUACAGUGUAGUGUUAAAUAAGGCGCAAAAAUGUAAAGUGCAACUUGCAACGGCGCCGGCGGUGACCUACUUGAGUUUGUGACGUCAUUGUUAUUAUUUUUGAAAAUGUGAUUUUAAGUUUGUUGUGAUGCGAAAAUUACUUUUUGCUUGUAAUGAAUGCAGUUUAGUUUAGGGUAUUAAACAAGUUUUAAAAUAUAUAAGAUGCCGUUUUUGAUAUAUUACUGAACAGGUCCUUGAACUUAUUUAUUCUAUAAUUAA